AUCUAAGCAGGAAGCAAUGGUUUGAAGGUAAAACAAAUGGUUUGAAGUUUCUUACAAACACGCAGCUUUUCACUUCACAAGAUAAGUUAAAGUUAAUUGAUGGACUAGAGUCAUGUGUGGAUUAUUGUGAUGUUUUUAUCAGCUGUUUGGACUCUCAUUCUGAUGGCACCCAUUCACUGCAGAGGAUACAUUGGUGAGCAAGUGAUGCAAUGUGGAAUUUCUCCAAAACUGUUCUCCAAAUCUGAAGAAACUUCUGAAGAAACAAACUCAUCUACAUCAUGGGUCAUUCCCAUCCUCAAAUUAUUAAUCCACAGUUCCUGAUCAAUAGCAGUGCAUGCAUGAGCAUCACAGCAAGAGGGCAAUCUUUUCUGAAUUUCUCUUCUGAACCUAACAGUCUAAUUCUCCUCGAGAUUAGCAGUGCUCUGAUAAAUUAUGCUGUGUUAUGGAUACAUUCCUGGUCCUUCAAGGUUAUAUAACAUUCAAUAUGCAGUAGAAGAGUGAGAGACAACUAAAUUCAGGUCAGGACACAGCAGGAAGCUUUCUUUUUCAUGUUUGAUCCAGAGGGGUCACUUCUGCAAACUCAUUAAGACAGAAAUGCAAAUGAUCUUCUCUUUCACUAUAUUUCUCUUUUUUUGUAGAAAAAAAGGCAAUUAUUCUGCCUAAUUACUGUAAAAGAAAAUACUAAGCAAGAGCUGUGCCUUUAACGGCCAGUGUACAUAGUUUACAUGUUUAUGCUAAAUUAUGAUUUCUAACAGUCUAAUAUCCAGUGAUGAUGAAAUGCUUGGCUCUUAAAUGAUGUAUAAGCAGUGUACGUUUUCCUUUGAAGUCUUGCUGAAAUGUGGAUAGUUGUAUGUUCUUGUCCUUACGAUCAGGUCAGAUACCCACAAAUAGGGUGAAUUUGGAUUUUUAUUCUGACUGUUGGCUGUAACAUUCAACUGUUUCGAGACAAACAGAGCUGCUUUCCCAUGCAAAGAAACUUGGCUAAAUUGUAUUCAAAUUUGCAUUUAAAAUGUUACCGUUAUCAGUGUUCAUUCAUAUUUAUUCAUUAGCCAGAUACUUUCAUAAGUAUGUGUGUGUCCUGGAAAAUAAAUCAGAGAAGUAGCUUG
ensembl:lncRNA